UAUUUGCAGCUUCCCUGUGUAGUAAUAUUUAUUUUACGCUUUGAAACUCUUUUACAACAUGCCGUAAAACCCUAGAUUAAAUUUUAAUUUUUUUAAAGUUUUAUUUUUUUUUUCAAAAGGUUGACCUCGGAUCAGGUAGGAAUACCCGCUGAACUUAAGCAUAUCAAUAAGCGGAGGAAAAGAAACCAACAGGGAUUGCCUUAGUAGCGGCGAGCGAAGCGGCAACAGCUCAAAUUUGAAAUCUGGCUACUUUGUAGUCCGAGUUGUAAUUUGCAGAGGAUGCUUUUGGUGAGGUGCCUUCCGAGUUCCCUGGAACGGGACGCCAGAGAGGGUGAGAGCCCCGUACGGUUGGACACCAAACCUUUGUAUAGCUCCUUCAACGAGUCGAGUAGUUUGGGAAUGCUGCUCUAAAUGGGAGGUAUAUCUCUUCUAAAGCUAAAUACCGGCUAGAGACCGAUAGCGCACAAGUAGAGUGAUCGAAAGAUGAAAAGCACUUUGAAAAGAGAGUUAAACAGCACGUGAAAUUGUUGAAAGGGAAGCGCCUAUGACCAGACUUGUUUCUGUCAGUUUUGCUUGUUUUCGGACUUGUUUACUCUGUCAGUACAGGCCAACAUCAGUUUGUUGUUUGGGAGAAAGGCUUAGGGAAUGUGGCUCCCUCGGGAGUGUUAUAGCCCUUUGCAUAAUACCAUUCGGCAGACUGAGGACCGCGCUUCGGCAAGGAUGUUGGCGUAAUGGUCAUCAGCGACCCGUCUUGAAACACGGACCAAGGAGUCAACCUUAUGUGCGAGUGCUUGGGUGUAAAACCCCAGCGCGUAAUGAACGUGAACGUAGGUGAGAGCUUCGGCGCAUCAUCGACCGAUUCUGAUGUUCUCGGAUGGAUUUGAGUAAGAGCAUAUAGGGUUGGACCCGAAAGAAGGUGAACUAUGCUUGUAUAGGGUGAAGCCAGAGGAAACUCUGGUGGAGG
rnacentral:rRNA from 1 species